rnacentral:rRNA from 1 species
GACGAACGCUGGCGGCGUGCUUAACACAUGCAAGUCGAACGGAAAGGCCCUGCUUUUGUGGGGUGCUCGAGUGGCGAACGGGUGAGUAACACGUGAGUAACCUGCCCUUGACUUUGGGAUAACUUCAGGAAACUGGGGCUAAUACCGGAUAGGAGCUCCUGCUGCAUGGUGGGGGUUGGAAAGUUUCGGCGGUUGGGGAUGGACUCGCGGCUUAUCAGCUUGUUGGUGGGGUAGUGGCUUACCAAGGCUUUGACGGGUAGCCGGCCUGAGAGGGUGACCGGCCACAUUAGGACUGCGAUACGGCCCAGACUCCUACGGGAGGCAGCAGUGGAGAAUAUUGCACAAUGGGCGGAAGCCUGAUGCAGCAACGCCGCGUGCGGGAUGACGGCCUUCGGGUUGUAAACCGCUUUCGCCUGUGACGAAGCGUGAGUGACGGUAAUGGGUGAAGAAGCACCGGCUAACUACGUG